AGCAGACACAAAAUAGAUAAGAGCUCUCCCCAUGCACCUCCAUAAUCUCAUCUGCACCCUCAAAUUUACUUUAAUAACCUUAUGAAAAUCUGCAUGUACACUUCAGAGAAUCUUUGAAUAUGUUUGGUAUUUUAAAAUGAAAACCCUACACUCCUUUAAAAACUCCUCUCGCGCCUUCAAAAAGAACCUUACUAUGUCGUUCGAACACCCUUUGUCGUCGUCUUCUUCUUCGAUGGUGUGUGCGGUGGUAUUGGACUUCCUCUCCGCAGCUUUGAUUUGUGCAAGCUUUUGACUUGCAGAUCCUCGUCCAACCUUUUUUGGUCGACCAAAACCUCUCUUCUUCACGCUGAGGGAUUCCACAGAAGAUGGAGAAUCGACUUUACUAUGUUUCUUUGUACCAUGUGAAACUCCAGACACAGAAAUAUUUCCUCCACCUGUUUUUGCUACUGUUUUUCUAGUUCCACAUCGUAUGUUUUUUGGUUUCACAUGAGGAUUAUUCAUAGGCGCAUUAGUAACCUGGGUGUUGGUGACUUUGUUACUCGAGUCCUUCAAACUUUCCUUUAUCUUUUUUGUCACAAUGUCUCUUAAUAGUACAGCAGAUUUGUAUUCA